rnacentral:tRNA from 14 species
GCAUCGAACUGCCAAUCAAGAGUCAAGGGCUCAACUCCCUUUGUCGG